UACGUAGGUGGCAAGCGUUGUCCGGAAUUAUUGGGCGUAAAGCGCGCGCAGGCGGUCCUUUAGGUCUGAUGUGAAAGCCCACGGCUCAACCGUGGAGGGUCAUUGGAAACUGGGGGGACUUGAGUGCAGGAGAGAAGAGUGGAAUUCCACGUGUAGCGGUGAAAUGCGUAGAGAUGUGGAGGAACACCAGUGGCGAAGGCGACUCUUUGGCCUGUAACUGACGCUGAGGCGCGAAAGCGUGGGGAGCAAACAGG
rnacentral:rRNA from 1 species